rnacentral:snRNA from 11 species
AUGUAAAUAUGUUUGGAGACAGAGGUUUGUCAAAGGGUCNUGACCCACAGGUUGAGAACCACUGCUCCAGAUGCUCUGUCCCCUGCAAUUUCCCCAAAUGUGGAAAACUUGACCACAUAAUUUGUGAUAGUGGGAGACUGCAUUCAUGCUGUCCUCUG